rnacentral:rRNA from 1 species
CUAUUCAGCCAUACCACCCUGAAUAAGCCCUAUCACAUCUGAUCUUGGAGCUAAUCAAUAUUGGCCUUGGUUAGUACUAGAAUAGGAGGAAGUUUAACUUUGGUGUAUUGU